ACGGCCGUGCCACGCUGAAUAGACCGGUUCUCUUCAGAUCACCGAAGUCAAGCAUCAUUGGUGCUUGGGUGGGUGAGACCACCUGGGAACACCGCGUGCCGUU